ACUUUGCCAGGUUGUUUCCACUACGAUGUGAAAUAGGUGAUGUCGGGCGUGUUUGUGUGGCCCUGACCUGCUUGCUUACUGAGAGCGUGCCCAGUGCUCUGCUUCCCAAUGCCCAGGAAAAACAAACCAAAGGAAACAUUGUCCUUUCUCACAGGGCAUUCAUAGAUAAGCUCUGGGAGGCGGAGGGGGGAGCAUUUUAAUUAACGCAGCUCCGAGAGCCGCGCUAAUUAAAGUGCCCGCAGCGUCAUGUAUAUCAGCAUCCCCACACUGAAAAUGGCAGCGGGGCGCUUGGAACUAAAGAUCAUUGAGCGAGCUUUAGUUUGAAGCAUCCCACCGCCAUUUUGCAGCACAGGGACACUGAUACAUGCUGGAGCGUGGUAAUUACCACAUUGCAGGGAUUAAUUGAGUCUGCUCCCACGCGCUGUAAUGACUGUGUUGGAGCAGCCUCGCUGCACAUGUAUACAGGAGCCCACGUACUCCAAGCCUGCUCUUCCAGACAAUUCCUGCUCCAGGUUUAUCUACCUCUCUUUGAUCUCCACCAAGUAAACCAUUGCCGCUGAGCAGCAUUUAAUUGCCCUCCCUGCUCCCUCCUUAAUUUAGCCUAAAUGAUAGGUUGGUACCUUUGGCUUCAAAUAGGUCUGUGAUUGAUGACAGUGGAGACAUUGCUACACCGCAGCGUAUUACAUUUCUCAGGAAUGCGUGCACAUUCUCCUCCUACUGGGAGUCUGACUAUAAAACCAUCUUUAUGGGAAGAUGUUAACAAAGAAAGAUCCAGUCCAUGCAUUUAUAGCAGAGACCCAGCUGCCUAGUAAAGCUGAAUUAAAAUGCUUUCAGUAAGUGAGGUCCUUGUCACCCUAUUUGUAUCUCUUGUGUCUGUGUAGUUUCUGAAGAUGCUGCGGGCUCGCAGAUGACUUUCUCCAAGACCAGUUCCAUUCCCAGUCUUUGGAAACCUCUUGCAGCUCAACUUUAAAUUUGAUCAUGAGGGCCUCAAAAAGCCAUAUCAGUGGAACUAGCUGAAAAUUAUAAAAUUUGUAAACUCAGUAGGAGCAAGAAGAAAAAUUCAGAGGAAACAUCUUUGAAGUGUUUAUGGAGCCAAAUCACGCGGUAUUAUGUUCUCAAUGGUCGAGCCUGGAAGCAGCAGAGACGUUUUUGAUUCAUAAAUCGUGAUCCUGCAGAAACUGGGAACGGGGAAGGAGCACCGAAUACAGGAGGAGGCCUGCCACGUGGUGGAGCACUUGGACAGCAUGAAAGGAAGAUCUCUGGACCCCCCCCUGCCCCUGGGCCGUGCUGUCAUGCAUGUGAUCUCUGCUGUGGCUUUUGGAUGUCGCUUCUCCAUAGAGGAUGAAAACUUCCACCGGCUAAUUGGAGCCACUGAUGAUAUAAUUGCAUUUGGAAACAGUUUCUACUAUUAUAGGAAGUCCAGUAGGAGUUGGAUACUGUGCUGAGUCCCUUCCAUGUAAUCUGCUAUGAAGAUUGCAAGAAACUGCCCUACACAAAUGCUGUGAUUCACGAGAUGCUGCGUUACAGCAGAAUUGUCUUAAUUGGACUUCCUGGGACAAGUCGGAGGAACACAGAUCUGCUGGGAUUUCCAAUUCAAAAGAAGAGAAAACAAGAACCCCUACCACGGACAAGGAGGUGGACUAUAUGACCUCUCACAGUGCCUUCCAGCCUUACUUCUCUGUGACUGUAUGAACCAUAUUCAUAGUGACAUGCAAGAUGAUUGAGAGGGAGAAAAGGCAUUGGCGAGAAGAGAGGGCAAUCACAGGCAUGUGGCAUGGCUGCAAAGCACCCCUGGCACCCCCUUGAAAUCUGGAGCAAGGAGAAAAGGAGCGUCAGCAUGAAUUUGGUGAGGUGUUGCUGUUGGAGAAAGUGAAGUCUCUUCAAUGGCAAAAAUUCAUGGCAACAUCUUCACUUUGUGGCUGGCACAUGUCCCUGUGGUCGUGCUGCAUGGAUUCUAGGCAGUGAAGGAUGGUCUGACCACCCACGCAGAAGAUAUUUCUGCAUGGCCAAGAAGUGCUGCCUUCAAUAGGUUCACAAAUGGAAAGGGUAUUAUGUUCUCAAUGGUCGAGCCUGGAAGCCGUAGAGACUUUUUUGAUUCAUAAAUCAUGAUCCUGCAGAAACUGGGAACGGGGAAGGAGCACCGAAUACAGGAGGAGGCUUGCCACGUGAUGGAGCACUUGGACAGCAUGAAAGGCAAUCAAGGUUUUCCAGUGCUGAAAUGCAACUCUUGCAGUCCAGGCGUUGACUGUGUCAUCACACUGUGUCCUGCUGGAGCGAGGAAUUCCUGAUGGUGUUAAUCAAGUAAUCUCUUAAUAAAAAUGUAUUUCAUUUCACGUACAGGCUAACUAACCACAAUACAGCUGAGAAGACAUUUACUUUUUUACAAAUGAUUCCAAAGUCUUCUCUAUGAAAUGUAGUAGUAGUAAUAAUUAAAAAAAACCCAAAAACCAGAGGGUCAUAUGUGACAACUACACUGGGGUGGAGCACAUUUCUUAAGUGUAAUAUUAAAUUAAUCUCUUAAUAAGCAGUUACUGUUGUAUUCCCAGUUCUCUCCCAAGCUCCAAAUAGAAACCCACAAAAUGGUGUGAUCUCAACUCAGCCCUGCCUGAUGGGGACUGGGGAGGUAGGAAGUCUUCACCAUCCUGCUUGUGUCUAUAUAAAGACAUUAUCUGAACUUGUAACCUACACAUUAGUAAAACCUCAAAUUAUAAGUAUACCUUUGCAUGGGAGGUGGAAUAUAGUCUUAUCUUUUUCUUUACUUUUAUAUACUUCUAUACUUUCUUUACUUAACAAUAAGGAUUUUGUUUGUGCAUGUUCAUAUUUUAUUCUUAUCACUAUAAUAAAUGAAAGGGAACUGAAAAGGAUGAGUGAUAAAUAUACAGGUGCAGGUAUAUUUAAUGUUGAACAUUUCUCCUCAGAAAAAGUCCAGCAGGAGCUGGAUGCUGUGCUGGGUCCCUUCCAUGUAAUCUGCUAUGAAGACUGCAAGAAACUGCCCUACACAAAUGCUGUGAUUCAGGAGAUCCUGCGUUACAGUAGAAUUGUCUUAAUUUAAAUUCCCAGGGCAAGUGUGAAGGACACAGAUCUGCUGGGGUUUUCAGUCCCAAAGAUACAGGGCCGUGAGCUGCUUGGAUAUGCUCCUCUUGCCUCUCUCCCAAGUGUACUAUGAUGUAUUUCUUACAUUAAUUUUUUGAGUUUCUCCCAGCGGUGCUGAUUCAGGGAAGCAUCCAUAUUCAGAAGAAAGCACUGAACUACUUCAAAGCAUACAAAACAUAAAAAUACUGAAGCUGAGUUUAAACCAGUGGGUCUUAGGAUGUGGCCAUGCAUACAUUUUAGCUGCUUUAAAAGGGGUGGGGUAGCUGUCUCUUAGAAGUGCACAGCGUAUGGAUCAGAAGGUUACCUCUGCACGAGCCUCUAGCCAUAGAAGUUGGCCAGAUCACCCUAACACUGACCUGGAAUGAAGUAGUGUAGAAAUUGGGAGUGUUUUUGCUGCAUUUGUAUUGUGACAGCAUCAUGCAGAUAUAUUGUUUGCAUUGUAACAGCUUGUAUUAAUACCCCUUGAUAGUGAUCUGAUUGUUAUAUCCCUUGGGCACAUGUUUAGGAUUAAACAUGUGUAAACGUGUUUUUUCUGAAUAAGGAUGCACUGAAAUACUUUGUUACUUGAGGACCUGAAUGUUUGUAUCUUACAAAUGUUGACAGAGCCCAACAAGAGCUAUUGUCCCUGUGGCACAGUGGGCACUUACAGAUGUGCAGGCCUCUGCUCUAACUCAUUGCACUUUACAUAAAGUGCAAUGAGUUAGAUCCCCCUUCACCCCUCCCCCACCCACAGACAUUUUCUUGUUGUGUCGGCGGAGGGGGGGAGAAAGGGAAUCAAGCCUGCCUGUAGGAACCUAAGGAGCUGCCCCUUUCCCCCAGCCCCACCCCCGGUUCCCACCCCCAUGGCUGUCUGCAAUAAGGGAGCGGGGAGGCAGAGAGAGCUGCCAGCUGGGGUUUGCCUGGCUGGAGCUGGAGGAGAGGAGGAGCUGGGUGGGGGCAUGAGGCAGGGAGGGCUCCCAGCCCCCCACCCCCUCCAGCCCAGGCCAAGCAAACCCCAGCCAGCACCUCACUCCCUCUCCUCCCUCCCUUCCUGCUGACAGCCCCAGGGGUGGGGCUGGGCUGCAUCAGCCUAGCCCCAGUCGCAUGACAAAUUAACCCUAGGGAAUGCAAGUACCCUAAGGUGCUCUAAAGUGGAGCGCCUUCAUCUGAUACCUCAUUUGAUGAGGGUUAAUUAGUUGCACUCUUGGCCACUUUAAAAGAGCUCUGCAACUGUGCACUUGUGUCACGGCAUGACACUAGAACGCUUUCAGGGGGCCGAUCACGUGAAAAAUGUAACUUCUGUCUCCACCCAAUAUUAUAAAUGACCUCUGUGUCUUAAAUGUGAACAGUUCUGAAUUUUGGUCUGUGCCAAUGGGAGGUUUGGAAAUGACUGUAGAAAACACGCACAUUAAUCCCCAGUAUGUUCUGAUCUGCUCCUAGUGAGCCGUGUUUCUCAUCCUGUCACUAGAGCUGGUCAGAAAGGGGAAAAAGAUCACUGUGAGAUGUGACAUUUAAAAGUUAUUGUCAUGCCAUUUUUGUCCAAAAUGACUUCUCUUUUUUUCUUUCUUAAGAAAAGAAAGAAUUUCCUUUGAAAAAAUUAGAAUUUUUGGUUUCUCAUUUUCCACCUUUUUUGUUUUUCUGGUGAAUUGUGGUAUCGUACACAACGCACGGAAAUAGUUUAUUUUUUGUUUUCCAUACAGCCUUGUUUGUUCAUGUACUUAUUUUGCUAGUCUGUAACGUUCAAACAUUUUUGACUUGACCAAAGAUAGAGAAAAGCAAAAGAGGAAAAGGAAACUCUUUAACUCCAGUCUCAUAGAAGUUUUCAGAAGUUGGAGAAUUUUUAAAAGCAGUAAAAGUUAAAAACCAGAAUUAAAAGAGUGAACAGAAUAAACCCCUAGACCUUAUUCAUUUUGUUGCAUCCAGCAACAAAGAAUCCAGCAUCCAUAGCAAAAAGAAAUACGCAGGGGAAAAAAGCACGGGGGCGGGAGGAGGGGGGGCAGUCAAAACAUGAAGCGCCAGAUUUUCCAAUUUUGCAAAAAAAACCCCCCAAACCCCUGAAAAAAUAGAAAAAGUUUUUUUUUAAAUUGUAGUUUCAAAGCAAGGUCUCAUUUAGUGUAAAAAAUAUUUUAGUAAAGAAUUUCAGUGAGCUCUGCGUGUGAAGGUCUCUACGGUGCAGUAAAUUAUAACUGACUGCUCUCCAUUUCUGCCUUCACUGAUUAAUCUGAUGGACUGAACCGGUGAAACACAACUGAAGCAACAGCUGUUUCUUUGCCGAACACCUUUAUUUUAGCAAAUAUCGACUCUGUUCUUUCGGACCCUGGGCAAUGGGAGACACCUGAAGAGUUCAACCCGAACCACUUCCUGGACAAGGAUGGAAACUUUGUGAGCCAAGAAGCCUUCUUGCCGUUGUCCACAGGGCACCGGGUGUGUGUGGGGGAGCUACUGGCAAGGAUGGAGCUCUUCCUCUUUUUAACCCACCUGCUGCGGGCAUUCACAUUCACCCUGCCGGAGGGAGUGACGGAAGUCAACAUGGGUAUCGUUUUUGGGUCCACAAUGAAACCCCAUCCAUAUAAGCUCUGUGCGAUUCGUCGCUAGACUGCAGCACGUCCUGGAUCAGGAGAAAGCCAUUCAGCAGGAUUGACUCCUACGGGGAAUUUCCUCCUUCCAUGUCUUUCAUCCUUUUGCACUUCAUGUCCUGAAGUGAGUGUUAGUCUGUCCCACUGAGGGACGCUGUCUCAAGGUAUUGCACCCUGAGCAAUGCACCUGGAAGCUGCUUCUGCUUCACGAUUGCCUUGUUCUCAGAAAGUCUUUACGAAUUCUUCUCUAAGAGGGUCCUAAUGAAAAUAAUGAGAAAGAAGUUAAAAAUUGACUUUGGUCCUGGUCAGGACUCUGGUACUGGAAGCUAAAAUGUGAGGAGGUGGAAGCCACAAUGUAUUAUACACAGAAGAUGCCUUGGUUGCAAAUAUAAUAAAUCCUCCUGUUUAACCAUG